UACGUAGGGGGCAAGCGUUAUCCGGAUUUACUGGGUGUAAAGGGAGCGUAGACGGCGAUGCAAGCCAGAUGUGAAAGCCCGGGGCUCAACCCCGGGACUGCAUUUGGAACGGUGUGGCUGGAGUGUCGGAGAGGCAAGUGGAAUUCCUAGUGUAGCGGUGAAAUGCGUAGAUAUUAGGAGGAACACCAGUGGCGAAGGCGGCUUGCUGGACGAUGACUGACGUUGAGGCUCGAAAGCGUGGGGAGCAAACAGG
rnacentral:rRNA from 1 species